GGCUACAGCAAACACCUGCACCCACACUGGCCCUUUUCAGAUAAGAUUGAGCACCAGAGAAGAAGUCUAUGCUGUUUGGUUGCCUUUGCUCUCCAUGUCUGCUCACCAGUUCUGCCUCAGAGUGUUUCAGUUCAUGAGGAGCUGAGUGCUCGUCUGCAGUGGAGUGGAGACGGCAUUAGACAGAGACAUUCACAAGUAGUGUGUGACAUGUUAUCUGCUGAUGCACCUUUCUGACUCCAGACAGCUGUAAUUGACUCCACAUAACAAACCAGAAUUAACAGCUCAAUGAUGGCAACUCGCCAUCGCUCGUUCUGGACGAGCUGCUCAAGUCGGGAGGAAGAGUGGAAGGAUUUGAGGGGCGAGGGCGAUGCUAACCGACGGCCUGGCGCUAACUCACCUUCCGAGCGCCCCGCCCGCGCGCCGCCGCCGCCUCCUCGUCGGCUGACGCACGGCCAGCGCUCGCUCAGACGGCACGGCGAUUUCGCGAUCUUAUCAGCCGCACUCCGAUCCGUCGUCUUCUCAUUCUGCGGUAGGGGAAAAUGAGCCGUUUUUCGCUGGAACGGACAAUCCGUUUCUAACACGGAGGUCUGGAUUCGAAUCAGGAUCCUUAACUUUGACUAAUAAAUGCAAGUGAGCCUCUCUUUUUCCUUCACGGGCAAGAAGAGGGGAAAAAAACCGUUAAGAACAAAGGUUGAUUAAAUCCAGGCCUGUGUGCAGAAAAUAGAGGGCUAUUGUAUCUCAGCGACCUCAGGCAAGAAACCACACAGAAACUGUGAAUGAAGGCACCCUCUAAGUCCUUCCCAUACCUUGGACGUCCCAGUCAUCCAGUCGUGAUGUUCUGCGAUGGUCAACGCUGCUGAGUGGACCUUCUCAUAGAUGGCCUCUCCCUCUCGUGUCUGAAAGCUUCAAAGGUGAACCAGGUUUUAUCUCGACCAUAACGACGCAGAGCUGUCAACGGCCAGGACGUGAUUUUGGAGUGAGGGCUGAGCGCGUCAAGGAGGCAAAUGGUUUCCAUGGUAAUCUGAAGAAGGCAUUCCCCGUGUACGUCCAAGCUACGAGAUGGCAUCAAGAACACAUGGAAUCUCUCUAAAGAAAUGAGGUAGAUGUCACAAAGUAAAUAUACAAAAUAGUUGUCAUGUGAUGUCACUGCUACAAUUUCAUUUUUUAAAUAUAAAUCGGAUUCUGAUGUUAAUGCAUUCUAAAAUAUGAAAAGAAAUGGUCAGCCAUCCUGCAAUGUAUAAACAUUGUCACUAAAUUGCACGCCACAGAGAUCCUGCAUUAUAAUUUAGUUAAAACGCUUCUGUUACUACAUUUUUUCACAAAGCUCAAAGCUUUUAUUUUGUUAAUGUUUUGUUGACUGUAAUGUCAAAAUCCAUGCAAGCACAGGGGUACAUGUCACCAUUUCUGCUUUUUUUUUGUUUUACAAAUAUGAUUCUGUUUAAUAAGUUGUGAACCAGCCAAACGAUUCUGCACAAGAACAUGGCGGCUCUGUUAAUAGUAUGUGAAGGGCAAAUGACAAACUUAAAAUGUUCUGCUGGCAUUUCCUUCAUAUGGAUAGUCAGUAAUGGUUGCAGAUGAUGGCUAAAAUCUUUCUUUGGAAAGACUGCACAAAUGUUCCUCAUUACAUUUUAUGGAAAGGAAAAUGAACUCACUCUCUUCAUCUCUUUUUGACCUAAUAAACUAAUAAAUAAAUAACUCCUCACUA